AUUGAACGCUGGCGGCAGGCCUAACACAUGCAAGUCGAACGAGUGGCGGACGGGUGAGUAAUGUCUGGGAAACUGCCCGAUGGAGGGGGAUAACUACUGGAAACGGUAGCUAAUACCGCAUACCAUCGGAUGUGCCCAGAUGGGAUUAGCUGGUGGGUGGGGUAACGGCUCACCAAGGCGACGAUCCCUAGCUGGUCUGAGAGGAUGACCGGCAACAUGGAAACUGGGAAAGGGCCCAGAUUCCAACGGGAGGAAGAAGAGGGGAAUAUUGGAAAAUGGGGGAAGGCCGGAUGAAGCAAGGCGGGGGGUAUGAGGAGGGCCUUGGGGUGGUAAGGUACGUUCAGAGAGGAGGCGGUAACCAAAGAGAAAGCAACGGCUAACUCCGUGCCAGCAGCCGCGGUAAUAC
rnacentral:rRNA from 1 species